GCUUGUUGCUAGGCCUACAUGAAUAAAGUAAAUUUUGUUUCAACCUGAUGAUUUUUUUACUAUGACGAGGAUCGCCAUAUGUAUGGGGUUUUCUUGGAAAACCGUGUUUUGUUUUUACAUAUUUUUUGCUCAUUUCAUUGAAAGGCGAUUCUCGUCAUAGUAAAAAAUCAUCAGUUUGCCAAGAUCUAUUAAAUGAGACAUGUUUCAUUUCUGUUGGUGGGUGGGGACAGUGCCCAUACAAAUUUGCCCAUGGUCCUUUAAAAUGGUGCAUUA